AACGAACGCUGGCGGCAUGCCUAACACAUGCAAGUCGAACGAGACCUUCGGGUCUAGUGGCGCACGGGUGCGUAACGCGUGGGAACCUGCCCUUAGGUUCGGAAUAACUCCCCGAAAGGGGUGCUAAUACCGGAUAAUGUCUUCGGACCAAAGAUUUAUCGCCUUUGGAUGGGCCCGCGUUGGAUUAGCUAGUUGGUAGGGUAAAAGCCUACCAAGGCGACGAUCCAUAGCUGGUCUGAGAGGAUGAUCAGCCACACUGGGACUGAGACACGGCCCAGACUCCUACGGGAGGCAGCAGUGGGGAAUAUUGCACAAUGGGCGAAAGCCUGAUCCAGCAAUGCCGCGUGAAUGAUGAAGGCCUUAGGGUUGUAAAACUCUUUUACCCGGGAUGAUAAUGACAGUACCGGGAGAAGAAGCCCCGGCUAACUCCGUG
rnacentral:rRNA from 1 species